GACGAACGCUGGCGGCGUGCUUAACACAUGCAAGUCGAACGGAAAGGCCCUGCUUUUGUGGGGUGCUCGAGUGGCGAACGGGUGAGUAACACGUGAGUAACCUGACCUUGACUUUGGGAUAACUUCAGGAAACUGGGGCUAAUACCGGAUCGGAGCUCCUGCUGCAUGGUGGGGGUUGGAAAGUUUCGGCGGUUGGGGAUGGACUCGCGGCUUAUCAGCUUGUUGGUGGGGUAGUGGCUUACCAAGGCUUUGACGGGUAGCCGGCCUUGGAGGGUGACCGGCCACAGUGGGACUGGGAUACGGCCCAGACUCCUACGGGGGGCAGCUGUGGGGAAUAUUGCACAAUGGGCGGAGGCCGGAUGCAGCAACGCCGCGUGGGGGAUGACGGCCUUCGGGUUGUAAACCGCUUUCGCCUGUGACGAAGCGUGAGUGACGGUAAUGGGGAAAGAAGCACCGGCUAACUAGGU
rnacentral:rRNA from 1 species